rnacentral:rRNA from 1 species
GACGGAGGGUGCUAGCGUUGUCCGGAUUUACUGGGCGUAAAGAGCGCGCAGGCGGUCGUUCAAGUCGCGUGUGAAAGCCCCCGGCUCAACUGGGGAGGGUCACGCGAUACUGAUCGACUCGAAGGCAGGAGAGGGAAGUGGAAUUCCCGGUGUAGUGGUGAAAUGCGUAGAUAUCGGGAGGAACACCAGUGGCGAAGGCGACUUCCUGGCCUGUUCUUGACGCUGAGGCGCGAAAGCUAGGGAGCAAACGGG